AGUCUUACUUUGUUGCCCAGGCUGGAGUGCAGUGGCGCGAUCUCAGCUCACCACAACCUCAGCCUCCCAGGUUCAAGCGAUUCUCCUGCCUUAGCCUCCCUGGUAGCUGGGACUACAGGUGCAUGCCACCAUGCCCGGCUAAUUUUUGUAUUUUUAGUAGAGACAGGGUUUCACUUAUGUUGGCCAGGCUGGUCUCGAACUUCUGACCUCAUGA
rnacentral:lncRNA from 1 species